AAACUAACAAGGAUUCCCCUAGUAACUGCGAGUGAAGCGGGAAAAGCUCAAAUUUAAAAUCUGGCGCAAGCCCGAGUUGUAAUCUGGAGAAGCAUUUUCUGUGUCGGACCGUGUACAAGUCUCUUGGAACAGAGCGUCAUAGAGGGUGAGAAUCCCGUCCAUGACACGGACUACCGAUGCUUUGUGAUAUGCUCUCGAAGAGUCGAGUUGUUUGGGAAUGCAGCUCAAAAUGGGUGGUAAAUUCCAUCUAAAGCUAAAUAUUGGCGAGAGACCGAUAGCGAACAAGUACCGUGAGGGAAAGAUGAAAAGCACUUUGGAAAGAGAGUUAAACAGUACGUGAAAUUGUUGAAAGGGAAACGCUUGAAGUCAGUCGCGUUGUCUGGAACUCAGCCUUGCUUGCAUGGUGUACUUUCCAGUUAACGGGUCAACAUCAAUUUUGGUUGGUGGAUAAAGGUAGAGGGAAUGUGGCAUCUUCGGAUGUGUUAUAGCCCUUUGCUGCAUACACUGACUGGGAUUGAGGUCUGCAGCACGCCGUCAUGGCCGGGGGUUCGCCCUACGUAACGUGCUUAGGAUGUUGGCAUAAUGGCUUUAAUCGACCCGUCU
rnacentral:rRNA from 1 species